rnacentral:lncRNA from 1 species
CUGGAGGUUUAGUAUCAGGGUUGUAGGAUAGGGGAUCCUAGAGUUUUUCGUACUCCUCACCCGGGGUUGGGUGAGGCUUUUGACACGGCUAUCCAUAAUGAUUUUUGUUUUGGAUUGAAUCUCCCUUAUGGUAGUUAUUUAUGGUAGUUACUGUAUGAUAUUAUUGCAUGCUAUUUUAUUUAUGUUUCUUAUGUUUAGAUAAUUAUUUACGCUAUUUCUGCUGGAGUUACUAAUGCACUUUUGUUUUU